GACUGUUAAAUUUUCCAUAUUUUGAAAUUCUUUUAAUUAAAAAAAAAAAAUUGCUCUAUGGGAAUGUGUCCCACGCUUUAAGUAUAGUAAAAGUGCAUAACAUAGUAAUAUUGUAAAAAUUAUUUUGUUGUGUUGUGUCGAACGAACUGUCCAACAUUACCAAACAGGACCUGAAUUUCCAGUAACAAGCCAAACAAAAAUACAGUGUCCAUAGCUACCCCAGCAAUACUUUUAAAUAAUACAAAUGUAUAAAUAGAUGCAUCCAAAACUGACUGUUCCAAAUAGUUGCUUUUUUAGAUACCUCAUUCAGGAAAAAAACCUUCCAAAACCAUCAAGAAAUUUACAUACAGCGUACUUGCACUCAAAAUGGAAACUGCAUCAGGCUUACGAGCAUGUAUUCUUCCUGCAUGUCCCCCAUCCAUCAGUAUUUAUGCCAAUUUUGUUUUUUUGUAAAACACAAUUUUGACUACAAGGACACUGUAUCUCAUGUUCCAGUGGGCAGAGGUCCUGUCUAUCCAUUUUCUCCUAACUCCACUUACACACAUGGUGGCCAGGAGUUUUCCUGUCCUGUACAUUACUCCAAUUAGAUCAGACACUGAAAGAUAAAGAGGCAGUGUCAAAAACCCACAAAUAUUUAGUCAUUAAUAGAACGAAACACCUAGGAACACGCCUAUUUUGAUAUUUUGUUAUUCAAAAUAAAUGGUAUUAAAUUUACCGUAUUCCUGGUCCUUCUGGUUCCUAAAUUCAACUACCAGUAAGAGCAAAGGGGUAAUUUGCCACCCCGCACCAAUGGGGGAGGCACCCAUAAGGCAACUCAACCUUUUGUGGGUGCAAAAUAUUAGAAUGUCAGUCUUGUAUGUUUUUACUGUAUUACACGAUGUAUUUUUAUUUUUUUUACCUUUAGGUUAUACAGCUGUGUUUAUUGCCAUUUGAUGAAGGCCUGUGUGGCGAAACGCAUUUUGGCAGUUUUUUUACUGUUCUUACCCUUUUUAAUAUAUGCCAUUAAAGGAAUAUUGGCCCAAUACUUUGCCUAUGCCAUAUCCCUUUUUUUUUUCCAAUAUAUAUAUUUUUUUUUUUUAACCUGGUCAUCUAAUACUCUGGAAUAUCCACUCACUCAAGAAUCCUAGGUGGGGAUUAUACCACCCACGCUAUUAAGGUGAGCAGCAUAUCCUGCUCACCUGCAUGUGAGUAUUAUACCUUUAAAUUACCAAUCACCUGUUAUUGCGUACAGAGAGCACUAUUUGGUUUUAUUUUUUCCCUCCACAUAUCGAGGAUCUUCACUACCUACCAACACGUAUAUCCUACCAAUAGGAUAGCAACGCCACUGAAUGCUGUUUACACCUGAGCUGGCUCUAGCUCUCGAAUAGGUAAGUAGGAGGAACACCACUACUGUCAUAUUUUGUCUUUUUACUACAGUUUAACACUAUUGGAACUUUUUCUCUUAUCUGCAUGCCUCAUCUGGACAUCGGAUUAUCUCAGAACCUAUAAGAUCUACUGUACUCACUCAUUUCUUCAAUCAACUUGGCCAUUUUAUUUAUAUACUUUUAUUCAGGACUUUGUUCCCUUUAAAGCAUUUUAUGUAAGUAUGAAUUAGUUUUAUUAUAUCAUAUUAUUUGUGUGGUGCGACCUAUAAUUUUCUGUCUCUACAUUUAUACAGCUGUGUCCCUCUAUUUUUUACAUAUUGAUACAUUAUCUUUAGAUAACUGCAGGAUUUAUUGCUAAAACCUAAAGAAACUCAGGUCUUGUUUUUUCUUGCUAAAAAUUGGCUCUUUUUUAUAUAGCUUUCUCUCUAUUUAUAUUUAUUUUUUAGAUCAGAGAAAAUAUAUAAUUUUUCAGCUUUGUCUAUUAUUGUAACAAUGAUAGAACUAAAGACAAAUUCCUAAACACAGAUACAAUAAUUUGUUCAGAUUUGAUCAAUUCAAAAAGACAUGCUCUAGUGGUAGGCAACCUGCGGCACUCCAGAUGUUUGUGGACUACAUUUCCAUAAUGCCUUCAUCACCAUAAUGCUGGCAAAGCAUCAGGGGAGAUGUAAUAAGCAACAUCUGGAGUGACGAAAGUUGCCUAUCCUGGUGCUAGACAAUAUAUGCCACAGUCUGAAAAAAGGUCAGGAAAAUUAGGAUAAACCGGUAACUCCUAAUUAUUCUGAAGACAGUCAAAUAACUACCGUAUAUACUCGUGUAUAAGUCGAUCUCAUGUAUAAGUCGAGUGCAGUUUUGUGACCAGCAAUUGUGACAUAUGCUACGCCUCGUGGAUAAGUCGAGGGUAAAACUUGGGGCUAUGAAAUUCUGUGAUUUUUAUAAUUAUAUACACACACACUCAUACAAACACACACUCUGCAUUAUAUACACACACACACACACACACACACACACUCAUACAAAC